AAGGAGAAUCAUCUCUUUCUACAGAAUUGCAGUUUCUAUUUUGAGUGUUCUAGGUGCCAGUCAACUGACCUUUCAAUAUUUCCGCAUAUCAUUGUGUCAGCAAAACCAUGGUUGGUAAAUGAUAUGGUUAACCUCUUUUAUUAUGAGGCAGUUUUAAUGUUGUUUGCUUUAAUUGUAUUUUGUUGUCAAAUUGGAAAUUUCUGGCUUCUUGUUUUUAAGUAAAAAAAAAAAAACUUUCAAUUCCUAUCUUCCUCCAUUUCUGAGUGCACAACAGUUUCUUCUUUUUCUACUUAUUGCUGCAGGUUUCUUGACAACACACUCCCUAGUUCUUCAUGCCAUCCAUUUAUUGCUGUAGACCUCAAGUCAUUGCCCAGAAUCCAACUUAGUGAGCAAUGGUUCCUUUGCUUGACCUUUAAAAUUUCCUGUCUUCUGGAUAUGUUGGCUUUGGUGCUGCCUCUUAGCUGUUUAGUUAUUUUCCUGAGGCCGUUAGGAUGAUCCUUGUGUGUGCUCUAGGAGCAUUUGUUAGACGUACUUGACCAGUUGUCAUGGUCCAGGUUUUCUUCCCAGGUGAAAAACAUACACUGUUUGGACCUGCUAGUGAACUCUUUUGUUCACUUUCCUCUGAACUCCUUAAUAUCUAAACGAGAAAAGAAGAGAUUCUCACCUCUUAACUUUGCUCUAAAUAAGUUAAGAGACAGGUUGAAUCGUGUUACCGCAUGGAAGGGGGCAACAUUAAUGAAAUGGAAAUGAAAGUUAGAAAAUGGUUUGCAUUAAUUUGCAAUUGUUCCUUGCUAUUGGUUAUGGUUUGUCGUUUUCACUACUUGUGAUGCUAUAUUUUUUUGCUGCGCAUUCAUGGUAGAUGUGCUAAUCAUUAUUGUUUCUAUUCUGGUAUUUGAGAUGUAUGUUGUAUGUAAAGUUAACCAAUUGUGAAUGACUUUACAGCUGGAUAUAUGAAUAUGUUGUGGAUUGUUUUAUUAGAAUUUCUUUAUUUACUACGGUUAAUAUAAUGUACAAUGGCCAUGUAGGCCAUUUUACUGGAGGGUGUUAAUUUGGAAGACUUGCUACUGACAGUUUUGGUUUUGUAUGAUGAAGAUUAUCUAUUAUCUGAUAGUCAUAGUGUUAUGUGUGUAUUCUUGUGAAGAAAUUUGAUAUAUCUUCAUUUUUCUUGUGAAAUUUCUUCUUUUGCAUAUCAUGUUAACCAGGAGUUUUACACUACUUGGGGUGUCUUGGGGUGGUGUUCUGUUCAAGCAGUGAUUAUCAAUAACUCAACAUGGCAUUAUUUUUCCUUUAGUAGUGUCUACCGGCACUUGCUUGAAUAUCUAUGUUUCAGCUUGCAGUAUCUCUUCUUAAUCAUGAAUUUAUUUUACUUUAUUGUAUCAACUAUCAUUUAAAUCUUGUUCAUCAUAUUUUUUCAUGUAUUCUCUAGUUUGAAUGAUCAUCCUCAGCAGACUUUGUGCAAGGAAUUGAUUUUAUGUUUUUAUCAAUCUUUAUUCUCUUCAUGCUUCUUUUUUUUAGUCACCAGUAGUAUGCUUGUCAGUGAUUGGAAUUUUACUAUCAUUCUUUCUGAACUUAGUAAUUUUGAAACUGAAUAGAUGGAAGGGCUAAUUUAUAGUGUUUUUACUAAUCUGAACAUGGUAUUGCGGUUUUUACUGGAAAUCUAUUGCCUUUUAGGUGUAUUAAAAGAGAUUGUGUUACAGUGUCACUUAUUCACCUAUUUCUUCCCUUUCACAUGUUGGUAGCUGUUAGAGAUAUAAAACUAUUUUUAUAGCCCUCGCUUAUAAGUUUGAGCUUUUAGGUUGAGUGAUUUUUUAACAUGAUAUCAGAGUCUCUCAAACCAAAAUGUUUAAGAGCUUGAAUUUUGGCUGCCCCUUUUAUUAAUUAAACAUUUCAGCAUAAGGUAAAGUGAGCUUGUAUUUGUUCAUGAUUCAAGCCCAAUGGACAUUUGCAUGUGGGUGUUUGUUGGAGAUGAAAAAACUAUUCUUGCGCCUUCACCAACAAGGUUGAGCUUUUAGAUUGAGUGAUUUUUUUGAUGGAAGUUAAACUAUAGAUUUCAAAAAUGAAUUAAUAGUUGUAGUGAAGAGUGUUAUACACUGUUAAUUUAUCAUUUAUUUAGCCCGUCUUUAUGGCAAGAAAGUCUUCCAAUUGCCAUUAUAAAUUUUGGUGUUUCUGUACGAAAUACAGUUUUCCAUCAUAAUUGUCGGAAUAAUUCAUCUAUCCAAUUAUCUCAUUCCUUUCUUGAAUCAUAUUUCAUUUCUGAAUAUUUGAAGUUGCUCAACAUAAUGGGAAGUCCUAUCUUUCUUGCAUUGAUCGAGUGCUUAUCCUUUCUGCUGAAUCCAUGUGGUCUGAGUAGGACCUGUGCCCAUUAUGCCAAUGUUUGUGAAUAACUAUGUUCGGUUGCAUGGAUUUAUUUCUUGUUAUUUAAAUCCUGCAUAAACUUGAGCUUUAAUGUUCUGAUGAAGCUGUCAUGAACAAGAUGUAUGGAAUCUCUUUCUAAUGGCCUAUUUUCUGAGAUAAUUCCACACUACUUUUUCUGUGUGUUUUCUCUUUUGUCCUUUAUUUUUUUUUACACGAAUUUUUAAUUGGGUGGAGACAACUUCAGGGUCUUUAAGUAAUAUUUUCCCCUGUGGUGGGGACUAUUAUCUGUUUAUCAACGGAAAAAGUAUUUGCUUAAAUGUGAUUCAUAGCUGAUUAGGCUACUCAAGCAUGCAACUUUGACCACUGUGUGCUGCCUAAUCUAUUUCAGUCAGAUGUUAUAAUGGCCUUAGCGGGAUCAAAUGGAGGAUCAUGGUCGACGUCGUACUCGCCAAAACCAACUGUGAAGGUAGGUUCUGAAAGUUACAUGAACAGUGGAGAAAAUGAAGUAGGAGUGGCUGCUAACACAGCAUUCCAACGUGAAUUCCGUGGGAGGUUUUCAGGCACUGCUGCAGUUAAUACGACUCAAGGAGUUGGCUCUGGCGACCGAAUCCCUACAUCUACAGGUCAUCAUGGCAGCCAUAAAAUAAGUGAAGAGAUAAGAAACCAAGGUCUGGCAGGAGACCCAAGUACUGAAGAGAAAAGAGAGGUGUAAGGCAAAGGGGGAGAUGGGUUUUGGGGUAGUCUUGUUUAUAGGGGACUUAAUUGAGCUAUCAGAUUCAUGAUCAGAUGUAGAAAAGGCCAAGCUUCUCAUAUGAUUUUUAGAUUAUGCUUAUCAAAUUUUAAGUUCAAAUUUCUUUCCCCUAAUGCUUGAAAUCAAGAAGCAUCCGACACUUUGCAUUAACAUUAUAGUAUUAUGAUAGUUGGAGUCUCAAUAGGAGGAAAAUGAGCUAAAAGAAAAGUAGUAUUAUGCGUGGAUAUGGUCUUUGCGUGGCUGAGGGUUGGUUCGGCCCGUGAUCAGAUCGGAAUCGGAAUGGGUCAAACUUGUGAUCACCACGGAUUGACGAUUUGGUGAAUCAGAUCAGCCCGACUAGAUUAUAGGGGGCUGAUUAGAGGCUUCCCUAUUUUUGGGUUUUGUAAGAAUGAUAUGGGCCAUUGCAAAAUCUGUCUCAGCUCAUGGGUAUAUGUCCCCUAGGGCCUAAUGAGAGAGAAAGAGGUAUUUGAG
rnacentral:misc_RNA from 1 species